GAAAAGAAACCAACAGGGAUUGCCCUAGUAACGGCGAGUGAAGCGGCAACAGCUCAAAUUUGAAAUCUGGCUUCGGCCCGAGUUGUAAUUUGCAGAGGAUGUUUCUGGCGCGGUGCCUUCCGAGUUCCCUGGAACGGGACGCCACAGAGGGUGAGAGCCCCGUAUGGUUGGACACCAAGCCUGUGUGAAACUCCUUCGACGAGUCGAGUAGUUUGGGAAUGCUGCUCAAAAUGGGAGGUAAAUCUCUUCUAAAGCUAAAUACCGGCCAGAGACCGAUAGCGCACAAGUAGAGUGAUCGAAAGAUGAAAAGCACCUUGAAAAGGGGGUUAAACAGUACGUGAAAUUGUUGAAAGGGAAGCGCUUGUGACCAGACUUGCGCCGGGCGGUUCAUCCGGGGUUCUCCCCGGUGCACUCCGCCCGGUUCAGGCCAGCAUCGGUUUUCGUUGGGGGAUAAGAACGUCAGGAACGUGGCCCUCCUUCGGGUGGGUGUUAUAGCCUGGCGUUCGAUACCCUGGCGGGGACCGAGGUUCGCGCUCCGCAAGGAUGCUUG
rnacentral:rRNA from 1 species